UUAGUAAUUGCGAAUGAACAAGGAUAUGCUUAGCUUGACAAAUGGAGCUAUUGGCUUUGAAUUGUAUUGUGGAAAUGUAUUACCAACAGAGGUGCAGGUGCCAGCCUAUUGAAAUAAAGCGUCAAUGAGGGUGAGAAUCCUGUUUGUCAUGUGCAGCCCUUUGUGCACGGUGUAUAUUUGCUGAGUCACACUCCUUGGCAUUGGAAUGCAAAGUGGGUGGUAAGUUUCAUGUAAAGGUAAACAUGCAAUUGAGACUGAUAGCACACAAGUACCAUGAGGGAAAUAUGAAAAGGACUUUGAAAAGAGAAUUAAAUGAGUUUGUAUUUGCUGAACACAAAGUAAACAGACUUGAUUUGCUUGGUGGGAGUGUUGCACUUGCUUGACAAGAGCUUUGGGCUGUGGGUGUAAUGAUUCUUUCUUUGCAUGCCAGUUUCUAUUUGUACAUCUGAUUACCUUUGCACAUGAAUGAUAAGUCUCCUGUGGGGGGUGGAUUGCAUGUGCAUGUAAUGAUUUGUGUUUUGAUAAAUGUGUCUGGUGUAUGUGUGUGUUCCUGUGCUUGGGGAUGCUUCCUUCCUUGGACUUACAAGCCCUGACACACACAUGCUGGCAAAAUGCUUCUGCUUGACCCGUCUUGAAACACGGACCAAGGAGUCUAACAGAUGUGCAAAGUUUGAAGGUGGUAUACCUUUGUGUGCAAUGAAAGUGUCAGCUGGGAUAUGUGCACCAGCACCCAAUUAAUUAGCGGACAGAGGUUUGAGUUGGAGCAUAUCUAUUAGGACCCGAAAGAUGGUGAACUAUGCCUGAACAGAAUGAAUUCAGAGGAAACUCUGAUGGAGGUUCGUAUCGAUACUGACGUGCAAAUCGUUCGUCAUAUUUGGGUAUAGGGGCGAAAGACUAAUCGAACCAUCUAGUAGCUGGUUCCCUCCGAAGUUUCCCUCAGGAUAGCUGGAGUUGCUCAGUUUUAUCAGGUAAAGCGAAUGAUUAGAGGAAUUGGGGACAGGUUUGUCUUUGACCUAUUCUCAAACUUUAAAUGGGUAAUAUGUAGUGGUUGCUGUAUGGAACUUCUAAGAUAAAUGG
rnacentral:rRNA from 1 species